rnacentral:rRNA from 1 species
GACGACGCUGGCGGCGUGGAUUAGGCAUGCAAGUCGAACGGUAUCAUCCUUUCGGGGGUGAGAGAGUGGCGAACUGGUGAGUAACACGUAGGUUAUCUACCCUCAAGACGGGGACAACCCAGGGAAACUUGGGCUAAUACCGGAUGUGAGCAACUUUUAGUUGUUUGAAAGGUGGCGUAAGCUGUCGCUUGGGGAUGAGCCUGCGUCCUAUUAGUUAGUUGGUGAGGUAACGGCUCACCUAGGCAAUGAUAGGUAGGCGGCCUUAACGGGUGGUCGCCCACACUGGGAUUGAGAUACGGCCCAGACUCCUACGGGAGGCAGCAGUCGAGAAUAGUCUACAAUGGUCGGAAGACUGAUAGUGCGACGCCGCGUGAACGAUGAAUCCCUUCGGGGUGUAAAGUUCUUUUAUAUGUGAGCAGUGCUUCUUAUAUUAACAGUAUGGGGAGAGAGAUAUUAGCAUAUGAAUAAGCAACGGCUAACUCCGUG